GAGAAACGGCUACCACAUCCAAGGAAGGCAGCAGGCGCGCAAAUUACCCAAUCCGGACACCGGGAGGUAGUGACAAGAAAUAGCAAUAGAGGGCCCGAUGGGUUUUCUAAUUGGAAUGAGAACAAGGUAAACAGCUUAUCGAGGAGCCAGCAGAGGGCAAGUCUGGUGCCAGCAGCCGCGGUAAUUCCAGCUCUGUAAGCGUAUACCAAAGUUGUUGCAGUUAAAACGCUCGUAGUCGGAACUUGGCGGGCGACGCAGGGCGUCUUUGCGGACGGAUCUGUAUCGGCCGCCUUUGUGGAGGGGGGCUUAGCGGUGCUUUAUUGCCUUGCUAAGUCGCUGCCACCGUUUACUGUGAAAAAAUUGGAGUGUUCAAAGCAGGCGUUUGCCUUGUACACAUUAGCAUGGAAUAAUAGAAUAGGACCUGGUUCUGUUUUGUUGGUUUGUGAGAAUUAGGUAAUGAUUAAGAGGGACGGUUGGGGGCAUUUGUAUUCUGCCGUCAGA
rnacentral:rRNA from 1 species